rnacentral:rRNA from 1 species
GGACUACAGGGGUAUCUAAUCCUGUUUGCUCCCCACGCUUUCGCACCUCAGCGUCAGUACCGGGCCAGUGAGCCGCCUUCGCCACUGGUGUUCUUCCGAAUAUCUACGAAUUUCACCUCUACACUCGGAGUUCCACUCACCUCUCCCGGACUCGAGAUUGCCAGUAUCGAAGGCAGUUCCAAGGUUGAGCCUUGGCAUUUCACCCCCGACUUAACAAUCCGCCUACGUGCGCUUUACGCCCAGUGAUUCCGAACAACGCUAGCCCCCUUCGUAUUACCGCGGCUGCUGGCAC